rnacentral:rRNA from 1 species
GAUCAUGGCUCAGGAUGAACGCUAGCUACAGGCUUAACACAUGCAAGUCGAGGGAAACGAUAUUGAAAGCUUGCUUCUUAGGCGUCGACCGGCGAAUGGGUGAGUAACGCGUAUCCAACCUGCCCCUGAGUAAGGGAUAGCCCAUCGAAAGAUGGAUUAAUACCUUAUGGUCUCCUUUGCAGACAUCUAAUUAGGAGUAAAGAUUUAUCGCUGAGGGAUGGGGAUGCGUCUGAUUAGCUUGUUGGCGGGUAACGGCCACCAAGGCGACGAUCAGUAGGGGUUCUGAGAGGAAGGUCCCCCACAUUGGUACUGAGACACGGACCAAACUCCUACGGGAGGCAGCAGUGAGGAAUAUUGGUCAAUGGGCGCAAGCCUGAACCAGCCAAGUAGCGUGCAAGGAUGACUGCCCUAUGGGUUGUAAACUGCUUUUAUACGGGGAUAAAGUCAGAGUCGUGACUCUGUUUGCAGGUACCGUAUGAAUAAGGACCGGCUAAUUCCGUGCCAGCCGCCGC